AUGCAGAGAACUUUCCAGAGAUGGAUUGGUGCCUCGGGAACUCUGACACAGGUGCUGCAUGGCUGUCGUCAGCUCGUGUCGUGAGAUGUUGGGUUAAGUCCCGCAACGAGCGCAACCUCGUCGUUAGUUGCUAACAGUUAGGCUGAGAACUCUAACGAGACUGCCUUCGUAAGGAGGAGGAAGGUGAGGACGACGUCAAGUCAUCAUGGCCCUUACGGCCAGGGCUACACACGUGCUACAAUGGGGUGUACAGAAAGCUGCAAUAUCGCGAGAUGGAGCAAAUCUCAAAAACACCUCCCAGUUCGGAUUGUUCUCUGCAACUCGAGAACAUGAAGUUGGAAUCGCUAGUAAUCGUAGAUCAGCAUUGCUACGGUGAAUACGUUCCCGGGCCUU
rnacentral:rRNA from 1 species